rnacentral:rRNA from 1 species
GGAGGGUGCAAGCGUUAUCCGGAUUCACUGGGUUUAAAGGGUGCGUAGGCGGAACAGAAAGUCCGUUGUGAAAUCUCCGAGCUUAACUCGGAAAUUGCGGUGGAUACUAUUGUUCUUGAAUACUGUUGAGGUUAGCGGAAUAUGUCAUGUAGCGGUGAAAUGCAAAGAUAUGACAUAGAACACCAAUUGCGAAGGCAGCUGGCUAAACAGAUAUUGACGCUGAGGCACGAAAGCGUGGGGAUCAAACAGGAUUAGAUACCCUGGUAGUCCACGCCCUAAACGAUGAUUACUCGACAUUUGCGAUACACAGCAAGUGUCUGAGCGAAAGCAUUAAGUAAUCCACCUGGGAAGUACGACCGCAAGGUUG